AAACACUGGACUGAUGUUCAAAAUAGUUAUGGGAAGAUAAGAAACCACAGUUACACAAAACCCCUUUUGCCCAGUUCUUUUCCUGAGAUCCUAGUCACAACUGCAACAUGAAAAAGGAAAAAAGAAGAAACCCCCCUCCUUCAUGGAACGAACAAAUAACUAAUGAGUGUGUCUACUGUGGAGCAGCAAGAAAAGCAUGUCACCUUGUCUUGCUUGGUUUGGCAGAGCUGGAACAUUCAUAUGAAGAGAAGCUGCUACAACACGCCUCCCCUUCUCCCAGAGCCAUGCAGGCUCUGCUGCCAAAAGCACUCUUCCUUUACAGCACACGCAACAGAUUUGGAUAUGGGAUGGAAGAAGUAAAGGAGCGGAGUAUGAGGCUGCAGCUGAG